UCAUCGCUGACAGAGGGGGUCGAUCGAGGCGCGUGUGAUGCAGGCGAUGUGGUCGAUCGGUCCAGCCGAUGCGGGCGAUCGUCUGCGAGGGGAUCGAGUCGUCACGCGAGAGGGGAUCCAGCCGAUGCCGUCGAUCAGGCUCUGAUUGAGAAAGCGAGGGGACGCGGGGAUGAAGGCCAACGCUUCAGCUAAUCAAAACUGCUCCAUUGAGACUUGAUAGAUGCAAUCAUACUUCAGUUUCUCAGCCAAUAUUCAUGGUGGGUGAUCUAUAUAUGCUUCCAUCCCUGCCAGUCUUCGCUAACCCUUUCCACUCUCGGUACCACAUCUUCCAGCAUGUUUCUCGGGUUAUGUUUAUGCUGGCUGUACUUGACUGAUUUGAGCAUAUCCUGGAGCUUUGGCUGCACGAUUUCUGUGAUGAUUGCAAGCGAUGGGGAUUGCUCGAUCCCGAUUCAGCAUCGAGCACCUGGCCGACGGUACACGCGGACGUCAGGGAAGUUUUGGUUGGGGAUCUCUGUUGAGACGUGCUGAGGGUGUGCGUCGCUUUUGCCGGGCAGGUUCUUUCACUUGCACACACCAACUUUCUACAUCUACGGAAAUCUGAACCGGAAGUUUUUAAACUUGAGUAACUGAAUUUUAUUUAGCCAAAUGAGAAUUUUGUCAGUUGUACAUAUUUUCUUUGAUUUUCUUACCCAAUUCUCUACGCAGUCAUCCCUGACUAUCAGGGAGACAAUAUACAAUCUAUUGUUACUUACACUGUUAAAGCUAGCAGCAGGAGGUUGUUAAUGUCAUCAAAACGUGCAACAAGAAUCCAAGCCCAAUAGAAAUCAUUUUGUUUGCAUUGAACCAAAGUGCAACUACACUGGAGGUAUGCUGAUUAUUUUCUCUAAUACAUCAAAUGCUUCAUCUGUCAAUUAUCUCCAAAAGAUAUGGCUUCACCGGGUACAGAGUUCGUCUUAUUGGUGUCCGCUCCCUAUUUUAAUCUCUACGGAACCCUCUCCUUAAUUAUGACAUGGUAUCCUUUGAGAAGAAAAUGUAACACUUUGGUUCUUUGUGGAAGUAUCAUGAAAAAUAAUAGGGGGAAAUCGAUAUUUGCAUCAUGUAGACAAGAACAUGUCACAACUAAGAGAGCUUCCCUUCUUUGUCAAAAUUUUAUUCUUGAGUUUAUUGUCAAUGAAAAUUGUCUUCUUACAGGAAUCCUUCAUGCUGCAAUCUAAUUAUCUCUGAAAUACCAAUAUGGUGUUUUUAUCAAUUUGAUCAGUCCAACGACAUAGUAUUUUUACUUUCAGAAAUGUGUGUUGUGAUGUAUUUCUAUUUACUUUAUGCUUAUUUCCCUUAUUCCCUAUUUGUAGGAAACAAUACUAAGUUGAAUGGCAAGAAAACAAAGCAUGCACUAUUAUUCAGAAUGGAGGUCCCCUUGACCCUUAAAUCUUUAGAUGAGUGUGUUCAAUAUUUUCCGGGCCUUUCAUUUCUGGAAUGUUCUUUUUCUUACAUUAUAUUUUAGAAUAAACAGUUGUUACAUUUCCUUGGGAUUCAUGCAAGUUUAAUGCUUGAAGUGGUCUACAUUUUUGCAGUUAAUGUUCAAGGCACCCUUUUGUGUAUUAAUACUUCCAUUUCAAUAUCCAUGCCAUUUUGGCUAGCUGAAAGCCGAUAGUGUUUGCUCCAUGGAGAAGUUCCUUCUGCUUUUUUGGAUCAGCAGACACCACAACUAAUUGUGUGCAUUCUUUUGGAUAGCUUGCUAUUGAUUAGACUCAGUUCGAGUACUUUAUGCAAGUUUUAUAUAUGACAGUUAAGAUGUUGGCUGACUUCUUUUUGGCAGCUCUGCAUGUGUUGAAAUUCACGUAUUGAAGUCGAAGCUGUAGUAUGAAUAUAUUAAUUAGCGAGUACUACUUAACAUGCACUGUGUUAUAUGUAAAUUGGUUGCGUACCAUGUUGAGAACUUGCUUUCUUGGUUCAGGAUUUCUUUUCUGGUUCUUUUUCUAAGGAUAAAACUAUUGAGAUGCAGUCGUGAAUUUUGCCUCUAAUAUUUCUACCAUAAUUUCAUCAAGAUGGACGCACGCCGCAAUACACAUCGUUAUUUUCUCUACCAGCAUGCUCUUGUUCUGUGUGACUAGGUGUCCAAAACAUUGUCGUCUUAGUUCUGGCCAAGGCUAUUCAUAUCAUUGUAUUAAAUCACCUUUCUUUCCUCUAAUGUUGUAUUGCAGGGUUCAAGGAUUCCUGAUAAGUGACCAAUGUUCAGUGAAACUGUUGUAUGCUCUCGAGGAAAGUGGUGCUAAAAAUCAAGUGUAUUGCUCAAUCAUGAGCCAUUAAUUAUAUUAACCAUGUUAUAUGUUUUCUGAUUUCUUCGCUCAAAAGGUCAUCGAUUGCUGAAUGUGUCGU